GAUGAACGCUAGCGGCAGGCUUAACACAUGCAAGUCGAGGGGUAGAGGAAGCUUGCUUCCUUGAGACCGGCGCACGGGUGCGUAACGCGUAUGCAACCUACCUUUUACAGAGGGAUAGCCCAGAGAAAUUUGGAUUAAUACCUCAUAGUAUAUGUUUUUCGCAUGCUAGACAUAUUAAAGUUCCAACGGUAAAAGAUGGGCAUGCGUCCUAUUAGCUAGAUGGUAAGGUAACGGCUUACCAUGGCAACGAUAGGUAGGGGUCCUGAGAGGGGGAUCCCCCACACUGGGACUGAGACACGGACCAGACUCCUACGGGAGGCAGCAGUGAGGAAUAUUGGAAAAUGGGCGCAAGGCUGAUCCAGCCAUGCCGCGUGCAGGAAGAAGCAUCUAUGGUGUGUAAACUGCUUUUGUACGGGAAGAAACACUCCUUCGGGAAGGGGCUUGACGGUACCGUAAGAAUAAGGAUCGGCUAACUCCGUGCCAGCCGCCGCCGUAACAC
rnacentral:rRNA from 1 species